AUGAACGCUGGCGGCGUGCCUAAUACAUGCAAGUCGAGCGAACAGAUGAGGAGCUUGCUCCUCUGACGUUAGCGGCGGACGGGUGAGUAACACGUGGAUAACCUACCUAUAAGACUGCGAUAACUUCGGGAAACCGGAGCUAAUACCGGAUAAUAUAUUGAACCGCAUGGUUCAAUAGUGAAAGACGGUUUUGCUGUCACUUAUAGAUGGAUCCGCGCCGCAUUAGCUAGUUGGUAAGGUAACGGCUUACCAAGGCAACGAUGCGUAGCCGACCUGAGAGGGUGAUCGGCCACACUGGAACUGAGACACGGUCCAGACUCCUACGGGAGGCAGCAGUAGGGAAUCUUCCGCAAUGGGCGAAAGCCUGACGGAGCAACGCCGCGUGAGUGAUGAAGGUCUUCGGAUCGUAAAACUCUGUUAUUAGGGAAGAACAAAUGUGUAAGUAACUAUGCACGUCUUGACGGUACCUAAUCAGAAAGCCACGGCUAACUACGUG
rnacentral:rRNA from 1 species